GGAAAAUUGAUAAAUCCGUACAGAAAAUAAGUUUCCUUUUCUGGAAAUGUAAAAACAAGUUGAAAAUAUGGCUUGUAUACAGACAUAUACAGUGAUAUACAUUGUGAAACAGCAAUAUACAGGUGCAAAAGGGCGUGAAAAGGCAGAAAAAAUUACAUGACAUAAGGGUCAACAAAAUGCAGGCUUCAAAGGUUCAAAAAUGGGUCGCAAAUGUCUUGUAUACCAGCGUAUACGUAAUGUGUAUACGCAGAUUUCUUUGAAGGAAAUAGGCCCAAUUUCCCUGAAAAUUGCAGCAGCAGAAUUUGGGCCUAG
rnacentral:misc_RNA from 1 species